rnacentral:rRNA from 1 species
GCCUAACCAUAAAACAACAAUAAAAUAACCCAUUGUUCGCCAAAUAACUACGAGUAAAAACUUAAAAUUUAAAAGACUUGACGGUACUUCACACCAACCUAGAGGAGCCUGUUCAAUAACCGAUACCCCACGAUUAACCCAACCCCCCCUAGCCAACAGUCUAUAUACCGCCGUCGCCAGCUUACCUUAUGAAAGAAACAAAGUAAGCUAAAUAGUUACGCACUAACACGACAGGUCGAGGUGUAACUCAUGGGCGGGACCAGAAUGGGCUACAUUUUCUAAUACAGAAAAUACGGAUAAACUAUGAAAUAAGAAACUAAAGGAGGAUUUAGCAGUAUACCGGGAACAAAAUACCCAGUCGAAGUCUGCAAUGAAGUGCGU